UUGCGCUAGGCGGGAAGCUAGCGGUGUCCUGUUACCCGAAAUCCGCUCAAUGCGGGGCUGAAUUCCCUUUUGAGAGCCUGGAUUUCCGCUCUCCAAGAGCUGUCCCAGGUCGGGCACCACGCAACAGACGGUUACGAACCCCGUCAGGUCCGGGAGGAAGCAGCGGUAAGUAAUGCAGUCUGUGUCGUGAGUUUGGCUUCGGCCGAAUUAUGUCAGCUUGAGGCGCGUCGGAAAGGGUUCGAGCAAGGGUGCGCAA
rfam:Desulfobacterales bacterium S5133MH4 k99_50404, whole genome shotgun sequence.